UGCAACUCGCCUACAUGAAGUCGGAAUUGCUAGUAAUCGCGGAUCAGCAUGCCGCGGUGAAUACGUUCCCGGGCCUUGUACACACCGCCCGUCACACCAUGGGAGUCGGUAACACCCGAAGCCUGUAGUCUAACCGCAAGGAGGACGUAGUCGAAGGUGGGAUUGAUGACUGGGGUGAAGUCGUAACAAGGUAAC
rnacentral:rRNA from 1 species